rnacentral:lncRNA from 1 species
GUGCUGCACCUGCACCUGGGGUGGUGUCUGUUCAGCUCUGGGUCUCUGGCCGAGGCACAUGGCUGUGUCUGUGAAAGGAAGGGCAGAGGUGACCCCCCAGGGCCAAGGAUGAUAGGAAGGGCCUGGGCUCUGGUUUGGGCCAAGCUGCAGACACACCGGGCUGCUUCCUCUUUCCUAGGGCUCAGACCUUCUCUGCUGUUUGUGAAACCUGCUCCUGUGGAUGUCCUGCCAUACCUCAGAAGAGCUCCUGUGGGUACCCCGAUCUGGGGGAGCCAGAUUCCAGUGUUCUGCUGUAGCAACACAGGCACACUGAGACAGUGUGGAGUCAAUGCCCAGGCUUCUCCAUACCAUCACCUUCCCAAGCUCUGAGCAGGGCUGCUUCCCAUCUCUCAGCUGAGCUCUGGACCAUGGCUAUAGGAAGAAAGGACAGUGUCUUUCAUUGCUUGGAUUAUCUUUCCCCCAUCAGCCCCUGGGAUGCAGAGUCAGCAGGACAGCUACAUGGAGAUUCUGGCUGUGUCAGACUGCAGGAAACAAGUCUGUUAAGAGCCCCAGAAAGUGGAAAUGGAGAAUCACAAGAUUCACAAGAUAAGAAUCACCUUUGCACAGGACAAGGUGAAAUCACAGUGACUCCUCAGACCCAAAGCAGGCUGACAAGGAGGUAAAGCGGCUUUGCUUUUUUGUGGGACCCAAGUAUGCUCAGUGAGGUGAGCUGAUUAUUUUCUGCUGAUUAGAGUGGAAAAAGAAAUGGCAUUUAUUUGUGGAAACAAACUUGCAGAAGCAGAGGUGAGCGGGAUUCUUCAGUGAGUGGGUCAUUGAUGCUGGCCUCAAGGUUUUCAGCCCGUCCUCAGUGACUCCCAGCUACAGGCAGGACCCAGCAGCAGAAGAACCCUGGGAACAGACUGUGUCCCCAGACCCUGACUGCCUCCAGGGAUGUUCUUUCUAAUGCACCCAGAACACAAAUCAUAUGGCUUCACCGUGACAGUUAUAAAUUUCAUCCACCAUGGAGAGUUGGAGGCAGGCGAUUUGUUGGGUCCAAGUCAAAGGUUACAAAAGAAUUCUUCAGAUUUGGGUGAUUUCCACACCUAUUAGGGUCCUUGGUUGUGUUCCCUCACUGGGAAUUGCCCUUGACUUGGGGGAUGGUCCUGCCCUCUCCAGAACAGACUUGACUUCUGCUGGCCAUGUGGAAGCCCACACUCCUGGAUACCUUGCUC